rnacentral:lncRNA from 1 species
UUCAGAGCCAUUAAACUUUUCAAGCAGAGACCUGAUAUAGCUAGAUUUGUAUUUCAGCAGGAUCACCCUCAGAGGCCCUGUGAUGGUGGGCUGUGCAGGCAGUGGAUAGGGGAGAGAUGGUGAAGGCCUAAGCCAGGCACAUGGCAAGGAGGAGACAGGGAAGGAUGUUUAGCGGUGGCCUGGGCUCCGUGCUGCCUUCCUCACACUGAAGCCAGUCGGUGUUAAAUCCCCCAGGAACUGUGCUGGAGGAAAACUGACUCAGAGCCUCGAGGUGGAUGGGCCACGUUUCUGGGAGUCUGUGGUGAUUCCUGUGUUCCCCUUUCCUUUGCAGUGACAAAGCUGCAGGUGAGCAAAUCGAAGAGGACCCUCACCCUGGUGGAAAACAAGCCCAUUCAGCUGAACUGCUCAGUCAAGUCUCAGACCAGCCAGAACUCCCACUUUGCGGUGCUCUGGUACGUCCACAAGCCCUCAGAUGCCAACGGCAAGCUUAUCCUGAAGACCACCCACAACUCCGCCUUCGAAUACGGUACUUACGUGGAGGAGGAGGGCCUGAGAGCCAGGCUCCAGUUUGAGAGGCAUGUGUCGGGGGACCUGUUCAGCCUCACCGUCCAGAGAGCCGAGGUCAGCGACAGCGGCAGCUACUACUGCCACAUGGAGUAGUGGCUGCUGAGCCCCAACUACGCCUGGUACAAGCUGGCAGAGGAGGUUUCUGGGCGCACAGAAGUCACUGUGAAACAGCCAGCAGGUGCAGCCCAGAACUGUCUUCUGAGGAAGAGGUGCUCUCCUGGGCCCCCACUGUCCCCAGGCCUCAGCAGCAAGGCAAGUGAGGUGCUGCCAUCUUCCAGGCUGGACAGUUCAGUGAUUUGCCUGAGGCCCCACAGCAGGUGAGUGGCAAGUCCAGCAUCAGAGCAGGGAAGGCUGGCGGUGCCCCUUGAGCCCCCUUUGCCAUGCUUACCACAUGCACAUCCUGGGCUUCUGCAGGAAUGCCCUGUCCCCUACCUGCCCUGCUCCGUGCAAAACCCUCUUUGAGCUGUGCCUGGGAGAAAUGCUGAGAGAAUUCAUGGAAACAAAUGUGUUACUGACAGCCUCUUUGCCUCCAGAGUUCAACUGGAGACAGAGAAACCAGCUAGAGGCAGAGGGAGGUAACCCGGAGUCCCCCAGAAAGGUCUGGGCUGUGCGUGCUUCAGGUAACCUCCCUUGACCUUCAGGAGAACGAGAAGGCUGCCUGAUCAGAGAGUCUCUGAAGAAGAUUCUGUGGCUACAGGCUUCAGCAGAGUGUGAGGGAGACCCCAGUUAUUUCCUCAGCUGUUUCCACCAAAUCCUCCUGUCUUUCGUGGCCAACACCCCAGGCAAGGCUUGGGGCCCCCGUCUGCUGCUGG